GACGAACGCUGGCGGCGUGCUUAACACAUGCAAGUCGAACGGAAAGGCCCUGCUUUUGUGGGGUGCUCGAGUGGCGAACGGGUGAGUAACACGUGAGUAACCUGCCCUUGACUUUGGGAUAACUUCAGGAAACUGGGGCUAAUACCGGAUAGGAGCUCCUGCUGCAUGGUGGGGGUUGGAAAGUUUCGGCGGUUGGGGAUGGACUCGCGGCUUAUCAGCUUGUUGGUGGGGUAGUGGCUUACCAAGGCUUUGACGGGUAGCCGGCGUGAGAGGGUGACCGGCACGUGGGGGAGGGGGUGAGGGCCAGCGGCAGGACGGGGGGGGCAAGGGGGAAAUGGGGGGCGGGGGGCGGGUGCCGGAGCCAGCGGCGCCGCGUGGGGGACGGCGGCUUGCGGGUUGAAACCGGCUUUCGCCUGGGACGAGGGGUGGGUGAGGGAAAGGGGUAAAGAAGCAGCGGCUAACAACGUGCCAGCGGCCGCGGUAAAAAUCGGAAAAGCAAGCGGCUGAAC
rnacentral:rRNA from 1 species